GCCGAAAUAGCUCAGCUGGGAGAGCGUCAGACUGAAGCUCUGAUGGUCCCUCAUUCGAUUACGGGUUUCGGCA